CGCUCUAGAUUUCGGAUCUUCAUCAAUAAAGAUUGGUAUUAUUUCAUAUCUUUCUCUAUUACUUUAUUCUAAUUGCAUUAUGUCUUUAUUUAUUAUGUUCUUAGUUUGCUCUAGUUCUAUAUUUAAUAUAGUUAUGAUUGACAAUGAGUUUAUAUAUAAGUUUGCAAAGCGCUUAGCUCUUGACUCAAGGGAGCUAAGUGGUAGAUCAUAUGUGGGCGUGGUGCUUAGAUAUUAUUUACCUGGAAAUGUAUCCUAUUGGCCGGGUCGUGUGGUAGUUCGCGAUGUUGACAGCUUCGUUGAUUCUUAUAUAGUCCACCCUCCGUUCAUAGGACAGACAAAAUUUGUAUUGCGGAGUAAGUCUUGCUAUGUUCUGAUUUACUUGAGCAAUGUUCCUUAUACAUGAAUAAGGAGUCUUUUGUGCUAUAUAUGAUCUUGUAGAUAACUAGAGUAGAUUGUGGCUUAGUAGAUAGUAGAUACUCAGAAUCCAUUCUCUAGCUAAUCCGACGUCACCUUACAUUUAUAUGGAGUAGUCUAUUUCUAUUCGCUAUGUUAUUUACCCAUGAGCUUAUAUUUCAUUAUCUUUAUUAUUAUGGCUUACCCCCUGCUAAAGCUAGUGACUGUGUG
rnacentral:lncRNA from 1 species